UACGUAGGGCGCAAGCGUUGUCCGGAAUUAUUGGGCGUAAAGAGCUCGUAGGCGGUCUGUUACGUCUGCUGUGAAAACCCGGGGCUUAACCCCGAGCCUGCAGUGGAUACGGGCAGACUAGAGGUAGGUAGGGGAGAAUGGAAUUCCUGGUGUAGCGGUGAAAUGCGCAGAUAUCAGGAGGAACACCAACAGCGAAGGCAGCACUCUGGGCCGGUACUGACGCUGAGGAGCGAAAGCAUGGGGAGCGAACAGG
rnacentral:rRNA from 1 species